CUGGGUGACGUGGUUGUGCAUGUGGGCUCUGAGCGAAUGGUGGCUGGCAAGGGCAUUGUGCCGAGCAUUGGACACCAGGUCUACCCUGGUGUGUCAUCUGUUAUCACUGAUGAGGAGGUGUACGGGUCUGUGCAAUACCUGUUGCAGACUGCCAUCGAUGGAGGCAGGGCUACCCUCUUCUGUUACGGCAUGACCGGCUCAGGAAAGACACACAGCAUGUCUGGCAUCCACGCCAGAGCGCCAG
rnacentral:SRP_RNA from 9 species